GUGGGGAAUAUUGGACAAUGGGGGAAACCCUGAUCCAGCGACGCCGCGUGAGUGAAGAAGUAUUUCGGUAUGUAAAGCUCUAUCAGCAGGGAAGAAAAAAGACGGUACCUGACUAAGAAGCCCCGGCUAACUACGUGCCAGCAGCCGCGGUAAUACGUAGGGGGCAAGCGUUAUCCGGAUUUACUGGGUGUAAAGGGAGCGUAGACGGUGUAGCAAGUCUGAUGUGAAAACCCGGGGCUCAACUCCGGGAUUGCAUUGGAAACUGUUGUACUUGAGUGCAGGAGAGGUAAGUGGAAUUCCUAGUGUAGCGGUGAAAUGCGUAGAUAUUAGGAGGAACACCGGCGGCGAAGGCGGCUUACUGGACUGUAACUGACGUUGAGGCUCGAAAGCGUGGGGAGCAAACAGG
rnacentral:rRNA from 1 species